UCACGUAAUUCAAUUCUAGAUGUUUAAAUAAAUGUCGUAUUUAAUAAUAUUAUUACUAGUGACAGGAUCAACAAAAACUUCUUGAGAUAGGAAAUACCCAGUGGCGCCCCUGAACACACCACUUCCUCCGACGAUCGGAACCUCCUUUAAAGGGCUAGUUAUAUUAAGAAUCCCCAAAAAGGUCAAAACGCUAUCUUGAUACUCAUUCAAAAACAAGUUAAUUCAUCGUUAUCGAAGCUGACAAGUCAUCUCUAGUAUAGAUUGUAUAAAUACCUUUUGCUUUGCCAAUAGCAUUCGUUGUGGUAUUGGGUUCGAAUUCGAGAAACAGUGGGAUGUCGAAAGCAAAAGUAGAACCAAAUUCAAAUAAAGUAGAGCCGACUCCGGCUAUAAGGACCGAUGAUGGAUUUGGGCCAACGUAUGUGUCGUUUCCGUAGAAAGAAAUUUUGAUAUUUGUGUUGUUUCCUUCUUUAGCACUGCAAAAGUUUGAGAAUGUGGUUGAAGAGAUGGAGAUGGAGAUGAAGAGGAAGAGUAUUGUGGUUGGAUUGAAUUUCGCCAUUGGAUAAGUUGCAGAUGAGAUGAUUGUACAGAUUUUAUUUAUAGAAGAAUUAAAACAAUAUCAUCGUUAAAAUACACUUCUUUUUUAAUAAUGGAUGGUACAUUUUUAUAAGUAGAAAUGUCUACUUCUGAAUGAUAUACCAGUCACGUAAUAUAUCAUUUUUUUUAUAAAUACCUCGAUCUCUACAAAAUGUAAAAAUGUCAACACCUGAAUGAUUUAACAGAGUCACAUAAUAUGUCAUUAUGUAAAUCGUAGUGAAAAUAUAUAUAGCGAGAUUUUAACCUUGAACUUCAAAAACCUUAAUAAUUACUCAAAACCCUAGUUAUCAACGAACAAAUUAAUUAUCAACAAACGAAUUAAUUAUCAACAAAAGAAUUAAUUAUCAUCCAACAAUUAUACAUUAAUUACCAACAACUAUAAAUUCAUUACUAACAACUAAGGCUGCGGGCCAGGGUCUGGGACCAAUUUCGGACCCGCCAAAUGGUUUAGGCCCGGAUGGCCAGGUCCGGACCCAGUCAGUUAGUAGUCCAGGUCCAUAUUAGCCUAUUUUAAAUGUUAAAAAAUAUAUAUAUUAAUAUUUUAGUAAGUUAGGAGUUUAAAUAUAAAUAUUUUAAUAUAUAUUGUAUAAUAUAUUAAUAAAUAUAUUAUACUAAAAUUUAUUUAUUAUGUUUAUUUAUUUUACUAAAAUUUAUUAACUAUUUUUAUAUUUUUAAUUAUUUAUUGUUUUUUAGGUAAAAAAAAAUUGGACCCGGUCCAGACCUGGAUUUUUAUGGGUCUGGGAGGGUCCGGGUCCAUACGAUUUAGUGUUGGACCCGUACCCGGCCCAAACCUAGGUCAAGUUCAUGAGUCCGGGUCAGCCGUCCCAGACCCGGCCCAUUUACAACGUGUACUACGUCCAAGCAAGUGAUGCUCCCGACAUUGUGCUGGUGUCCAAGAAACUGAUAGGGGAGACGAACUUCUUCCAAUAGCAGUGUACGGAAUUUUUUACCUUGAUCUAGAGGUGAGAUUCCCCAUCCCUGUACUCGGCACCGCACCGUACUCGGACGGCCGGGGAUGGGAACAAGGAGAUUUUCUUACCCGAAGUAAGAAAAUCCCCAACCAUUACCAGAGAUGGCCGGAUGGGGAUUGAAAUCCCCGUCCUGGAUAAUACUCGUACCUGGGGUAAAUUACAUUUAAAUCUUAUAUAAUAUUUUAUAUAAAUAAUAUAUUAAAUACAUAAGUUUAUAUUUAAAAUAUAUCCAUAAAAAAUUUAUAUUUAACCUCCUACAUAAGGGUGAGAAUAGGACGGGUCGCGGAACGGGACGGGUCAAGUACCCUGCCCCCGACGACCGGGGCGCGGAACGGGACGGAUCCGGGGCGCCCCACCCCUAAUUACCUAUAAAUUAAAAAAAAUGUGAUAUUAGAAUUAGGGUUUGGAAAAUGAAUCUCGCCAUUGGACGGGUGCGUGAAAAAUCGAGAAGGAAUAGAAAUCGAAGGCUGCAAAAUCUGCAAUAGGAAAUAGGAGUUCUGGAACGGUGGAAUCUGGAGUCGAGAAGGGAUGAGGACGAAGUCGAGUAGGGAGAAGGAUGGAGAGUUAAGUCUUGAAACCUAAAAGAAAAUAUCAGCAAAAAGGGGGGGAAAUAAAGAGGGAAGAAGGCACAAGAAACCCGGUCAUAGAUUGACCAUCAUUGGCGCUAUCUCCGGUCAUAGAAGAAUUUCCGGUCAGAUGAGAGGGUUUGGGGAAAGAUUUCCGUCGAGAGUAAAACGAGGGUUUGGGGAAAGUAAAAAAUAAUAUUUAGAGUUUACGAAAGUAAUGUAACUGAUUUGGUUAAUUUAUUUAUUUAAAUGUAAUUGAUUUGGUUAAUUAGACUCAUGCCUAAUAUAUUUUAAUUUAAUUUUAAUUUUAUAAAACGAGGCAACUCAUCCGAGACCCGCCCCGAAAUAUGGCCGGGGCACAUGGAAAAAAAAAACAAAAAACGGGGUAAAUAUUCUGUCCCAAUCCCAGUUACCACCGGGGUGCGGAACGAGACGAGAUCCCCCGUUCUCACCAUUACCUCUACAUUUUAAAUUUUUAAUAUUUCUUAAAUUUUUAAUUUUAAGUUUUAAACCCCAAUUGCCAAAUUUCUAAUCCCUAAAUCACAAACUCACUAAAUCGAUUUUUCCUCUAUUUCUAUUUCUUUCAUUGGUGGAUUCAACUCAUUCAAGGUAAAAAUCAUCUUUUGGGUUCUCAUUUUCAUACUUUCUUGAUUUUGGGUUCUCGAAAUUGAAGAUUGAUUAACGAUCAUUUUUGUUAAUUUAUUUAAUUAUUAUAUAUUUACAUUUGGAUUAUUUAAUUUUUAACUAUUUAGACUAUUUAUAUUUGGAUUAUAAUUUUAGACAUUUGAUUUUUUUAAUCCAAUUUUUUAUUUACAUUACAGUGUAAAAUCAAUAAAUAAUUAAUAAAUAAAAAUGAUCGAGUACUGAGACGGAGAACGCAAUCCUCACCCGUCCCCGUACCCGUUCACCCCUACCUUGGACUGGGAUUCACUCUUAGAGACAUCGAGAAGAUGGCAGAUGACUCCAAAGAUAGAAAUGCUUGGGAAACAUGUAAUGGUUUGGUGUUGUCAUGGUUGUUUAACGUCGUCGAGCCUGAAAUUUCUACAAAACUGCUAUAUACCAACUCCUCCCCUGUGGCUUGGAAAGACCUAGAAGAUCGUUAUAAAAUUGCUAACAAGCCAAAGAUCUUUGUGAUGAAGUAUGACAUUAGUGUAAUGUCGCAAGGUGCGGACUAUGUUUGUUCUUAUUAUCAAAAAUUAAAAAAUCUAUGGGAUUGUAUUAUUCAGAAAAGGAAUUCGAACAAACAAAUUAGGCGGGCGGGUGAAGAGAAGAAGAGAGUUUAUGUUUUUUUACCGAAGCAAAUCACUCAUGCUAUGGUUAAUUUAGUGACUCUAGACACAUGGCAUAGUAGGUUGGGUAUGCCUCUAAAGACAAAUGUUGGUGUGAGGGUUUGCCGAAGCUAGCUCACCGUCCAACCUAGUACAAGUCUCUCUCUAAGAAUUAUCAACCCCCUCCCCAGUUGGACCAGGGGAUAAGGUAUUUAUAGCCUUCACUUGUUGUCAUUGGGCCUCGUGGGCUCGCGCUGUUGGGCCCGUCCGCCCGUCCGUCCGUCUGGGCCGGCCGGUCCGGUUCGGUCCGUGGGCCGCGGUCCGCGGUCCAUGGUACCAACAGUACUCCCCCCUUCCUUGGCAAGCCUGGGGGCCUGGGGCCGUCCACCCCUCUUUCGCCCCCCACCUACUUUCAUUAAAGUUCCUCGGUUCCCGGGCCCAUCUUUCUUUACUUCUCUAUAAAUAAGCUGCCUGAGUCCCCCAUUUUUUGCAUCCCUUCUCCUGUCCGCUAUGAGUGCUCGAGACAUCCUUGAGGAGUAUGGUCGCGAAGUGCAGCUUCAGCAUGCCACCUGGGCCCUGUGUCUGCUGUCGCCUACUGGUGUUCCCAAUAGUGUUGCCGUGGCCGAGACUCAGCGCCUUAAUGCCGUGUUGAUCGACGUCCACCGCCGCCUCUCCCAGAUUCGCCGCUCCGAUAUUAUCGCGGAACUUCCUCCCGUCACCUACCCUGAUACCUCGGGCUCUGCUGGCACCUCGCGUGCUUUCCGCGCGCAAGGUACGAUCGUCGCCCCCGCUGAUGUCGCCGACCUCGCUCAUCCUCCAAGACGCCGCCGGCCGCGUGGCCCUCGUCGUUCCCGCGGGUCCUCGUCCCUCCCGGCCAACGACCUGCGUCACUUCCUGUCGGGGUCCUCGAAGCCGGCCCCCUAAACCCGUCUAGGGGACGUCCGCGACCGCGACCACGUUCAUCCGGUCUGCGGGUCGGCCUUUACGGGACGGCGUCUGGGGCGCGCCUCGUUCUUCUUGUCUCCUAUUUCUUUUUUGUAUCCGAAUUAGCUAUUGUUGUGCGUUGUGUACUCUUUCUCGCCGUGCCGCCGGCCGUUUGUAACACUUUCUUUGACUUAAUGAAAAAUGCCUUCGUUUUUUUUCCCUUUUUUUUUUUUUUUUUUUUUUUUGACUGUCUUCGCCGUGCAGAUUCGCGCAUCUCGGCGUUGCCCGCAUCCUUCUUGAGCUCUGCUCUCGCCCUUCGCGCCGGGUCCCCCUUUCGCCGGCUCGGGUGUCGGCUCGUUACGUCGUCUCGUUGGUGGGGCCUGCCUGUAGGCCCGUCUGGACACCUCCACCACUCUCCUACAUCGUUCGGCCGUUGGACACCGCCGAGCCUACGUCGGGCGUCUCUCCCCCGCCUCGUCGACCGCGUCGGUCCCUAGCUUUCGCCCUGGCCUCCAACGGACCGGCUCCUGGGCUCCCUCGGGGGCCUCCCGGCCCAUCCGAUCCUGACCAAUCCGGGUACGCGACGCUUCGUCUUCCGUGCCCUCCUAAACCCCUAUAUAAACCUCCCUUUGCCUCUCGCGACUGACUUUUUUUUCCUUCUCUCUUUUUUUCCCUCUCUCGCCUUCACUCCCCAGGUUGCUAAUGGCCUCCGCCUGCGUUCAGGGCGCGUCAACCGAAGCUCGCAACCUGGUUUCGACGCUUUUCGUCGCCCCCUCCAGUAAGGAUCCCCUAUCCACCGUCGGGGUUGACGCGAUCCGGGAGGCGUUGUCGAAGAUGGGCCAGCCAGACCUGCCCUUUACUGUCGCCGGUGACCGCCUUGCCUCCGACCCGCCGCCCGGCAUGGUCGCCCUUUACACGCCCUUUGCUGACGCCGGUCUCGUUCUCCCGCUUCCUCCUCUGGUGGCCGAGGCGAUGUACCACUGCGGUGUCGCGAUUUCUCAGUUUUCUCCGGCUGCCAUCGACCGCCUGGUGAUUUUCGACCUUCUCUUGCGUCGCGCCGGCUGCCAGGUCUCUCUACCGGUUUUCCUGACGUGGUUCACGAUGACCUCCAUGACCACCGACCCCCGCCGUGUGUUAGUCGCUCAGCGAUCCAGCGGCGCNNNNNNNNNNNNNNNNNNNNNNNNNNNNNNNNNNNNNNNNNNNNNNNNNNNNNNNNNNNNNNNNNNNNNNNNNNNNNNNNNNNNNNNNNNNNNNNNNNNNCUGGUCGACCGGUCUCACCACUGGCGGGACCGCUUCUUCUUCGUCCCCGUCAACGCCCUUGAGACGUCGGAGUCGGGCAAGAACGUCCCCAGGCGCUGGGCUCUGUUGACGUCCCUGAAGACUAGGACCGCCGCUCCUCCUCGAGAUAGCUUGGAGCCCAUGGCCGCUCUCACUCAAGACGUUCUCGUCGAGAUUUAUCGCCACGGGCCCGUCAACGCCAGGACGCUGGCCUCCACCUGGUCCUACGACGACCACCUGCAGUUGCCUGUGAGGGCGCCCUACUUUCGGGACGGCCCGCCCCGACGCCAGAAGAAGAGGUCGGUCGACGAAGUUGUGUUCGAGACUCCCAUCACUUCACCUCCCAUCGCGACUUUCGAGGUCGGGCAGGACGCUUCUGCCGCUCCGGGUGCCACGACCGUCCCCCUUCAGUCUCGUCCGGAUGCCAUGAACGUCCCCCUUCGAGACAGCCGGUCCGACCGUCGUCGCAAGAAAAAGAUUCGGGCCGAGAAACGAAAGUCGGUCGUCGCUUCCCCGGAGGCGGUCCAUGUUGAGGACUUGGACGCUUCUUACCGCAGCCCCGGAGCCAGCCACUCUAGCCUUCCGCCCGUCGGGGCCUUCGACCACCUCUUUGCGUCCGGGUCGGAGGGCGACUUUUUUGAUGCCGAGCCCUUUAAGACUGUCAUGAAAGAUCUACAGAAAACGCUCGACGGCUGCACCGCCCCCAUCGACCCCAUGACCCUCUUGCCGCGCCUUGGUGGGAUCCUCAAGCAAAAACUCGCGGACGUUCGUCCCUUGAUGACGCCCGAGGACGAAUACGUUCGACUGCGCGCCUGCCCCCCCUCGGCCGUCGACCUCAAUCUGCACCAUCACCUGUUGCAACUUUCGGUCCUCUCCCAGGUUCGGCUGGAGCAGGGCGCUGAGCUGGACGGGGAGCUUCGGCGUCAGAAAACCGACCUGGAUGCCUCUAAAGCCGACCUGGAUGCCGCGAAAGCCGACCUUGCCGCUUCGAGGGCCGAACUUGAUGUCGUAAGGACCGAGCUGGACGCGGUCAAACGUGAACGUGAUCUUCUGGCCGCCGACGUGUGCCGGGCUGCAGAGGAAGAGAAAACUCGGGCUGCUGCCGCGGAGCAACUCGCGAAGGACGCUCAGGCCGCCUUUGUCAAGGCCUUUCUUCCCGACUUCGAGGACCGUUUGGCUGGUCUGAAGAGCGACCACGCCGCCCUGGUGGCGGACUCCAAACGCAGCGGUUUCUGGAAGGAUUACGUACACAGGCGCCAGAUGUGUUCGCUUGCUUACCCGCCCCUGUCGCGCGCCGUCGUACCUCGGAGCCGUAAUGAGUGGGCCGGUUGGGAAAAGACGGGCGUCCCUACUUAUCAGCCUCCCGUGGAUGUGAGCGACAGCGAAGAGCAGGAUCUUGAGUCCGACUUUCCUGACUACGUGGACCCUCCUCUUGACUAGUCGGCCGUAGUGAAUGAAUAUUUUUUUUUCUUUUUUUUUUUUGGAAAAAACAAUGGAAAAAACAAUCGUUCUUCUAUUGUAAUAACACUUAGCUUUUUACUUCUUUUCACUUGUUUAUUUUCUUUCGCUUUUUGCUUGAUCGCCGAUCGUUUCCUUCUUCCUCUAGCUUUCGCUCCCCUGUUUACCUUUCGCUUUCGCUCUUCCCCUUCAAUCCGGUUUGCGUUUGCUCGGAGAAGCGGCCUGGGCCGUGCGGAUUGUCUCGUGUGGUCGUCCGACCUUGAGACUUCUCCGCCGGCCUUUUCGGCGGGCUUCUCCAGCUUCUGUUUGCUCGGGGGAACGGCCUGGACCGUGCGGAUUGUCUUAUGUGGUCGUCCGACCUCAAGUCCUCUCCGCCGGCCUUUUCAGCGGGCUACCCUGUUUUCUUUUUCUUAAUAUUCUCUUAAUGGAUGCACUCCGGGUGCUUUUUAUUGGGCAUCACGUGCCGUGCGGGCUUCAUUUUGCUGAGGACCUUUGCUAGGUUUAGGCAUUCGUCCGUCGUGUGGCCGUUGUCCUCGUGAUAUUCGCAAAACCGACGGGUGUCCCUGAACGCCGCCGUGUCCUUUCUCAUUGGUCUCGGCAGAGGUAGGGUUCCUGUUCCGCUCAACGUUAGGAAAACCUGUCUUUGGUUCGCCGCCAGGGCGGGGCCUGCCUCCCUCCGUCCCGCUGUUGCCGAGGUGCCGGUUCUGUACACCGGCGCCUGUGGCGCCGCUGGGGGCNNNNNNNNNNNNNNNNNNNNNNNNNNNNNNNNNNNNNNNNNNNNNNNNNNNNNNNNNNNNNNNNNNNNNNNNNNNNNNNNNNNNNNNNNNNNNNNNNNNNCUGCCCUCCCCCCGCGCCUGCGGGGGCGCCCUUCCCCCUCUGCUGCCGCCUGUAUUCCUGGAUCUUCGCGCCCAGGUAAUCCUCCACAUUGCUCUCUCCGUGGGACCUCUCCAUGGCCUCGGCGAAGGUUCUCGGUGGCUUCCUCACUAAGUCACCCGCGAAAAACGUGGGCCGGAGGCUGUUUGUUAGGGCGUACAACACCACUUCCUCCGAGAUCCCCUCAAUCCUCUGCACCUCGCUCGCGAACCGGUCCAUGUACGCGCGCGUGCUCUCUGAUUCUCCCUGUAUGACUGUACUGAGGGCGGCCUUGAUUUUCGGCCUCCUUCGGCGGUGUGCGAAAGCCGCUCGGAAUACCGCCACUAAGCCCUCGUAGGUGUGCACGGACCCCACCGGCAACGUCCUGUACCAAGCUAUUGCGUUGCCCGUCAGGGCCCUUCGGAACAUUCGACACCAGACGUUCUUCCUGUUCGUCCUGUCCUCCAUAUUGGUCUUGAAGGAGUGCAGGUGGUCCUCUGGGUCUGUAUCGCCCUUGUAGUAAGGGAUCUUCGGGGCUCUCCAGCCUGGCGGGUAUUCUUCGUCCAGCAGGUGCUGCGCUAGGGCCUCCCCGCUGCCCCCUCCCGACGUUGUUGCCACAAUGGUUCGCGGGGCCUCCAUGGGUGGGGCGUCGCUGCCUAGUCUUCCCCCCGGGGGGGCGGGCGGCCCGUACAUGGGAUCCCCCCCUCCGCCCCCGUCCGACUCCAGGGUGUGUGGGGUCACCGUAAGCUGGUGAACUUGCUCUUGUAGCUGACGCUGGCUCUCCUGCAGGGUGGAUAUCAGCUCCACGAGCUGCAUCCUCUCCCGUUUGCUCUCUCUUUCCGCGCGCUCUUUCUCCUCCGCGCGCUCCCUUCGCCGGAGCCUCUCGUGCUCCUUUUCCCUUCUCUCCCGGGACCGCGUUCUCCUGACCUUGGGUGGGGACGCCGGCUCUUUGUGCCGGCGCCUCUUGGGUGACUCCCACCCGUACCUAAUUUCCUCGAGCUCCAUGCGCAGUCUAUCCUCGUCGUCCCAUUCCUCGUUGGCCCUUACUUCCUCCGAGUACCGGUCGCGAGAGUGAUGUCGCGCCGGCUGGUACUCCUCCGCCGCCCGCUUAGAGCUCUCCCCUACUUGGUAUUCGCUCCGCGUCAUCCUCCUCUCUCCGGCCGUCAUGUGUUCGUUCACGUCAGGUUCACCACUGUUGGUGUGAGGGUUUGCCGGAGCUAGCUCACCGUCCAACCUAGUACAAGUCUCUCUCUAAGAAUUAUCAACCCCCUCCCCAGUUGGACCAGGGGAGGUAUUUAUAGCCUUCACUUGUUGUCAUUGGGCCUCGUGGGCUCGCGCUGUUGGGCCCGUCCGCCCGUCCGUCCGUCUGGGCCGGCCGGUCCGGUUCGGUCCGUGGGCCGCGGUCCGCGGUCUAUGGUACCAACAACAAACUUCUUAAUAUUUUAAGUGGUUAUAACCAUAGUUUUAAAAGCGACGUUUUAGUACGCUAAAGCGUUAUAGCGCUAAUUUUGGGUGCUUUCUUGCCCAGGUAGGUGGGUCGGGUUUAAAAGAAUUUAAAACUUUUUCUUUCCCUUAUUAACCCUCCCUUAACAUAAAACUAUUUAAACCCAAUACCCUUUUUAAAAAACCUUAGAUUCUUUUUCAUCUCUUAAAAAAACCCUAGACCUCACCUCGCCAGAGCAGUCGUUUGUCCGUUUCUCCCCCCAUUCUGCUCGCCUACUUCACGUAAGAUCUUCUUCAUUUUUUGGUUAGUUUUCCUUUCCUUAAUACCGUUUAAAAAAGAAAACGAACUUGGUCGGAAUCCAGUCUAUUUUGUCGGAUUCCUGCCAAUGGCUGCCAUCCUCGUUUUUUUUAAAAUUUUUUUACCACCAAAUUUCAGAAACUAUCUAAAUAGUGUUAAGGUUAGGGUCAAUCUUUUUUUUAAUUCUUUCUUUCUUAGGCAAACAUAAUGUCGUCCGAUGAAGAAUAUGUCGUUGAUGAUUGCGACCUUCUUGAAACCAACAGUGAUGAUGAUGAAACACAAGAUAUUUCAUAAGACGAAACACCAAAAGAAUCUACGCCACCUCCGCCUCCACAACCUCCGACAGUAGCUGAUCCUCCAGUAGUUGCACAAUUGGGCAUUUCGACAGACGAUACCAUUGAUCUGGAAUGGUUGAAUGCAAAAUUAGACGAUCGACUAGUACAAAUCCCGGAUGGAAGUAUGGGAUCCUUGAUGACCCAAAGAAAAAUAAAUAUGCGUCGACGAAAUGUUUAUUUUGCAGUCUAGUAUAUAACGACGGAGUGGCUAGGCUGAAGACACACUUGACUGACGUUUUCAAUGGAAAAAAGAAUGUAAUGCUUAAAGGUGCCAUACAAAGUGUUUCGAAAGUUAAUCGAGCAUAUGAACUCGAAAAAGCCAUUUACACUGGUUAUUGACAUUGACUUAUCUCCAAAAAAGAAGAAAAAACUAUCAAGUGUAGUUGGAUCCACUUCCAUCGUGGGUUCGGUCAAAGUAUACGGAUCAUUGGACUUGGAAAAAGGACAAACAAUUAAAAACAUCGUUCGUGAACGACGUAGUCAGAAAGUCAAACAAACUACUAUGGAGGAUUACUUGACGAAACAAGAAAAUAAAGAUGUACACAAGUACAUCGCCAAGUACUUUUACAACAACUCAAUUGCAUUCAAUGUAUCGCAAAGUGAAUCUUUUGAGGUUAGUUAUCUUCCUCCAUUCCAUUCAAUACUUCACUCUCUUUUACUAAACAAUUUCAAUUGUUUUAUUAAAUUGUAGUGUAUGUUGGAAGCGGUUGGUAAAAAUUGUAAACCACCAACGCCAUAUAGUUUUGAAACCUCCUUACUGAACAACCAAGUGAAGGAGAUUGAUGUCAUUAGAUAGAGGCAUGAGGAAGCUUGGAUCGAGGAUGGUUGUACGCUCAUGUCCGAUGGAUAGAUUGAUCGUCGAUGAAGGAAUAUUAUAAACUUUUUGGUGAAUUCUAUUGAAGGAACCUUCUAUCUUCAUUUCAUCGAUGCAUCUAGCUAAGAAAAGACGGUUGAGUUUAUUGUGGAGGGACUUGAGAUUACAAUAAAAAUAAUAAGACCUCAUCAUGUUGUGCAUGUGCUUAAUUAAUGAGUUUAUGUCCAUCAAUUAUUUUUGUUAAUUUCAAAAAAAUUGGAAUUUUCAGAUUUGAAUGGAUAACGCUUCGAACUAUGUUCGUGUUGAAAAAAUACUGACAGAAAAAUACAAGCAUUUUUCUGAACAUUGUGUGCCUCUCAUGUGAUGGAGCUUAUUCUUGAAGACAUUGGGAAGAUACCCCAAUACAAGAAUGCAAUUAGAUGUAUUGUGGAAAUACAAAUCAUGUAUACAAAUGCAACCCUUUAUAGCAAAUGGUUAGAGACGAUGAAAGGGAAAGAACUGGUAAUUAGGCCCGGCGUGACUAGAUUUGCCAGCACAUACCUAACAUUGAAGAUCUUACACGAACAAUCAGAGGGCUUGAGGACAUUCAAUUAGCGUCUAUGGGUGAGGAAGGGAGAUGGUCUAACGGUUGCAUACUUAGUCGUGAACACUCGUUUCUGGAUUACUGUAGAAGAUUGCCUAAAAGCUUCUGAACCCAUACUUGUCGUCUUGAGAUUGGUAGAUGGUGACACGAAACCAAAUUUGUUUUCUCUAGUGGCUGCAUUUCUAAAAGCUAAGGAGGCAACAAUAACCAAUUUUCAAAACAUCGAACGUGAUUAUAUGCUUAUUUUGAAAACUUUAGAAAAUCGUUGGUUCAAGCACUUCUACUCUCCAUUGUUUAAAGAUGCAGUAUUCCUCAAUCCGGGAGUGUACUACAAGUUAAAAAAGGUACUUAAUUCAUUUUGGAUAGUUAUGCACUAUUACUAAAUUCAUUAUCUAUCAAUUAUAGUACUCACUGUACUGACGAAGUAGUAUCAUAUGAGGAGGUUUUUGAGAAUUAUAUGGAGAAGAUGAUUGAUGACGAUCAAGUUAGAAUAAAGGUCGUAAUGGAUAGUGGCUUGUACAAAACUAAAACUGAAAGAUUUGACUCGUCAAUUGCUAAACAUUUGAAACCUAUAUAUUUUCUUUGUUUGACAAUUAAUAAUAUUUGUCAAGUAACGGUUUUCUUUAGGGUUAGGGUUAUGUGGUGGCAUACCUAUGGGACUUCCACCAUAGAAUUAAGAAGAUACGCAAUGCGAAUCUUAGCUUUGUGUACUUUUGCUUCAAGUUGUGAAAGAAAUCGGAGCUUAUUUGAACAUGUAUAUCAUCACUCUUCAAUUCUAAAUAGAUCAUUACUACUUAAUAAAAAUAAUGAAUGCCAUUUUUCAACUUAUUAUGCAUGUCCAUUCGAGGAAAAAUAAUCGAUUGAAUUCGAAAAGAUUAGAUUGUUUGGUGGUGUACAUAACGUACAACAGAAAAUCAGAUGAAUGUACCGAACGACACAAACUCUUGGAAUUGGAAGCAUCUUAGAAGUAUGAUCCAAUAAGAGUAGAUUCGAUGAAUUUCAAUAACGGGUGGAUGACAGACAUAGAAGGGCAGAAGACGAGUUCGUCUACACUGAGGCAGAUUGACUAACAUGGGCGUGCGCAAGUGGAGAAAGUUUCAAGUGUUGCAGAACAAUCGGUCGGGACCGUCUACAAGGAAUGGGCGAAGCGGUGGAUUUACAUAUCAGAGAGGAUCGGUUUUAGAGAAUUGGGAACUGAAACCCAAUAUCAGAUGGUCAUGGGUGAAUUAGAAGAAAAUAUUAGGGAUCAUCCAGAUAUUGUGAAUUAGGCGCACGUUGCGAUGAUAAUUAGGCUGAAUGCUCUAUGAAAUUACUUGGAUUUAUUCUAUAUUUAUUUGUAUAUUUUAUUCUAUAUUUACAAGAUUUUUACGAAAAUAUAAGAUUACACAUGGGUAUAUAAGCAAUUUUUGUAAAUACGGAGGCAGAAAAAAUGCUUCCUGAAAAAUGGAAAUGCUUUUUGCUUCUUAAAACCAUGGUUAUAAGUUAUAACCACAAAACUUACUUAAACAUAUUGGAUUGUUCCUUUUGUUAUAUGGCUAAGUUUAAAAGAUUAUCAUUUUCUGAAAGUAAAAAUAUUGCUAUGAAUGUUUUUUUUAAAUUGCACAUGGAUAUAUGUUUAGGGACCAUUUCCCAUUAAAUAAUCAAAAAUAUUUUUUUGACCAUUGUUGUCUGUUGAUGAAUUUAGUAUGAAAUAUAUGGGUUUUAUUAAUGAAUUCUAAAUCCGGUGUUUAUAUGAUAAUUUCGAAAAAAUUAAUAUUAAUUUGAAAUCAAUUUGACAUAACACCCAAGAUUAUCGGAUCCAAUAAUGGAGGUGAAUAAAUCAAUGAAUAAAUUAUUUUCCACUCAUGGAAUUACAUAUCAAUUGACUUGUCCGUACAUUGCACAACAAAAUAGAAUGGUGGAACUCAAUCAUCGAUAUCUUUUACAAGUUGAGAGAGCAAUAAGAUUUCAAUCAAAAAUACCCAUUGAAUUUUGUGGUUAUUGCAUAUUAUGUGCUACUUUUAUAAUCGAUAGAUUACCUCGAAACAAAAUUGAUAGUGAACAAGAAACAAGUACAAACUCUCAAUGGAAGAAAACCAUGAGGGAAGAAUUGUCGGCAUUAGAGUUAAACAAAACUUGGGAGUUGGUAAAAUUACCAAUUGAUCAUAAAGUCAUUGCAUCCAAGUGGGUAUAUAUAAAAUAAAACAUAAAAGUGAUGGGUCGAUAAAAAGAUACAAAGUGAGAUUAGUCGCAAAAGGAUUUUCCCAAAUAAAAGGAAUUGACUAAAUGAGACUUUUGCCCCAGUGAAAAAAUUAGUGACGAUUAAGACAAUGAUAACUAUAACAUCAUCAAGAAAAUGGGAACUCCACUAGAUGGAUGUUCACAAUGCAUUUUUACAAAGUGACUUGGAUGAGGAGAUAUUCAUGAGACCACCCCAAGGACUGUUGAACCUAGAUGACAAACGGGUUUGCAAACUUAAAAAGACAUUGUAUGGCUUAAAGCAGACAUCAUGAAAUUGGUUUGCGAAACUAAAAUCAAAACUGUUGGAGAUAGGUUUUGAUCAAUCCACAGUGGAUUAUUCGCUCGUCACACAUAUCAAGGGUGACAAAGUCACACACUUGUUAGUAUAUGUAGAUGACAUAAUUAUCACUAGAAGUAAUAAUUAUGGAUAUGGUCUAUUAGGAUGCAAGCCAUCAUCAUACCAAUGGAUAGAAAUGUACACUCUGGAUAGUGGCGAUUCAGAAUUACUGAAAGAUCCAACUACAUAUAAAAGAUUAGUUGGGAAACUAAUUUACUUGUUAAUUACAAGAGUAGAUUAGAUGUCACACGUGCAGUGUUUAAGUUAAGCCAAUAUAUGCAAUCACCAUGUCAAUAGCACAUAGAAGCUUCCCUCAAGGUACGCACUAAGAUACCUAAGAGGAACACCUAGCAGAGGCUUGAUGUAUAAGCAUGAAAAUGAAAUCAACAUAAUCGGCCAUUGUGAUACGGAUUGGACAGCUUGCCCUAAAACCAGGAAGUCGAUCAUUGGACAUUGUAUCUCUUUGGGUACAUCGUUGAUAUCUUGGAAGUCCAAGAAGCAGCCAGUGAUUUCAAUAUCUUCAACAAAAGAUGAAUAUAUAUCAAUGCAUAGAUUAAAAAGCGACGCUUUAAUAGCUUAAACCGGAAAAGCGCUCUUGGAGGAGCGCUUUCCAAAUCGCUUUUUUUUAAGCGGGUGAGUGGGUCGGGUCGGGUUGGGUUGGGUUAGUGGGUUUUUACCCAUCACCGGGCAGUAGAAGCUUGGAGAAGGGAGGAGAAGAAAGAUCUGUAAGGUACAUUAGAAGCAAACUCUUCAAACAUAUUUCUUCCUCUUUUAUAGCUGCUGGAAGUUUCUCAUGGUCCAGCACCUGUCUGGCCAGGUGUCUUCCCAAAUUAGGCACCUGGUUGGUUUGUCUUCCCAAAUUAGACACAUAUAAAUGUUUACUGGUAAACGUGUAAUAUAAAUGUAAUUACACGUAACGUGUAAUAUAAGUUAUAUUACACCUAUAAAUAUUACAUGUUUACUGUAAUAAAUGUUAUAUAACACCUAUAAAUAUUUAUAACAGGGGUAUAUAUUUGAAAAAAAAAAUUAUAGAAUUUGAAAAAAAAUAAUACAGGAAUAUAUAUGCAAUUUUCUAAAAAAUUGUAUAUAUUUACGAAAAUACCAUUAUCGCUUUUUAGCUUUAAGCACGCUAAAGCGCUUAAAGCUAAAAAAGCGCUAAUUGGAAAUUGUGAGCGCUUUUUCUAAUUUGAAACUAUGGAUCAAUGACACAUACUACGACUGAAAUAACCUUUAUUCAUUCUCUAUUGAAAGAAUUCAAGAUAGAUUCUCAAAAGAAAGUAUUUUUUGUGAUAACGUUUCAACUAUACACAUAGCUAACAACCCGGUAUUCCAUGAACGAACAAAACACAUAGAAAUCGACUGUCAUUUUAUUAGGGGCAAAGUUCAACAAGGACUCAUAGUCUUGGCUUACAUAGGAACAACAAGUCAGCCACCUGAUUAUGUUAACAGAGUUAUUAGGAGAAAAUGAUAUAAUUAAGUUGCUUAGCAUAUUGAAUGUCUUCGACAGCUAUACUCUCCAAGUUGAAGGAGUGUGUUAAACUAUCAAUGUUUAGUGAUAUAUGUAAUUUGUGCAAGACCAACUACAAGGUUGAGUUCCACUUGAUUACUUGGACAUAAUCUCUCAAUUAUUUGAUGAAGAUUCUUCAUUAAUCAUGCCCAUCACCUUCAUUGAUCGUGCUUUCAGAUGACAUUGUACGACGGACUUAUGAUAGCGGAAAUCCACCAUCAAAAGUCAUCAGUGAUGGAUUUCCGUCAGGAAAUCACUAUAUCCGUCAUUGAUAAUUCACCAUCUAUUAUUCUACCUCAUUUUCCACCAAAAAAUAAUACACGUCGAAAAAUCCAUCACUAAAUCUGAAUUUUUCGCGGAAACUGAAAAUUAUAUGGUGACGGAAAUCCGUCAUGUAUUAUAUGACACGCGAAAGAAAUUUGACGCCAAUUUAUCUAUGACUUCUAUUAAUGAGUAAUUAAGCAAUAAUUACGUUUAUAUAGUAUUUAGGUUAUCUCUGUAAUUAGUUAGAUGGCUUUACUUUCUGUUUUACUUUAUGUUUGUGUAUCCACUACCUAAGGUAGUUGAGAUCUACUUUUGUAUUUCCUUUAUAUAGGGCAGUGCCCUCAUUGAAUCAAUCACGGUUCAUACCAAACAAUCUUCUAGGUAGCUACUACACUAAUCACCCUCACAUUGAUAUGGUAUCAUCGCCGGAACGAUCCUCCGAUCAAUCUUCCGCUGCAAACAUGACUACCAAGCAGAUUGAAGGGAAUUCGUCACUGCCUUCUCACACUGAUGUGAAGACGAAGGCUCCCAAAUGCGUCACGCUAAUUGGCGACAACUUUUUCAGUUGGAAGGCCACAUUUGUCGCGGCACUCAAGGGAUUACGUCUCAUUCCCUAUCUUGAAGGGAACGUGACCUUGUUACCCGACUCUGUCCAAGAACAACAGGAUCAACUUAUCAUGAGUUGGAUCCUGUCGGCCGUCUCUGCAACGAUUCAGCCGAAGAUAGCUUCUAUGACCACGUCGGCACUUAUGUGGAAGAAGUUGGAGAGGACGUUCUCUACUGGAUCGGAAACCAGGAUGCUCCUUCUUCGAUACAAGCUUCAGUCAGUGCGCAAGGGAUCCAUGUCUGUAAGUGACUAUGUCAAUAACAUCACUAUGAUGAAUGAUCAGCUUGCGGCUGCUGGAGACACUCUAAAAGGCUCUCAGCUCAUACUUAUCGCGCUGGGAGGUCUGGAAUCAGGCUAUGAAUCAUUCAGAACCUCGAUCACCACUCGCUUUGAUCAUCAUGCGAUGACAUUUGAUGACUUCACAGACCUUGUGAUGGAUUUCGAGUCAUCUGUGGAGCCUGAAGAAAUUGCUACUAUUCAAGCAAAUGUAGCAACAAAAAUCAAAAGAAGCUCGUCGGGAAAGGAGGGAGUGACCUGCCAGAUCUGUGGCAAGAAAAACCACUCUGCUCUCAACUGCUUCAACAGAAUCAAUAUCUCCAAGUUUCCUCCCCAACAUAGUCGGCCACUGUCUCCUCAAGGUCCUGCAUUUGCAUCCAAUAAUACAAGUUCAGGACACAAUAAAGGAAAUCCUUCCGCGAAUUAUGUAGGGGUUGGGGGAGCUAUGUCAGGCUGGCAUCCAGACACAGGUUCGACUCAUCACAUUACACCUAAUAGCAGUAAUUUGAAUAAUGUCUAUUCUGGUAUACAUAAUAUUCCAGUACUUACUGCUAGUGGUGAGGCAAUGCUAAUCACCAGAUCUGGUGACUCGGUUGGACACUGUAAUGGCUCGACAUUCUCUCUAAAAGAUAUGCUAGUAGUUCCUCAAGCUACUAAGAAUCUGUUAUCUGUUAGAAAGUUAUGUGCAGAUAAUAAUGUGGUUGUUGAUUUUGAUAAACAGAAUGUAAGAAUCAAGGAUCGAGACAGUAGCAAGGUACUUGCUAAAGGAGGAGUAGAGGCAGAUCUUUACAAGCUACCUCUACAUAUAAAAACUUCACCAGAGACAAUGCUGGUUGAAGGAAGUUUCAGUGAUCUGUGACAUUGUCGUCUUGGGCACUUACACACAAAGGCAGUGGAUGAGCUAAUUAGAGAUCAGAUAAUAAAAUCAAGUUAUAAAACAGUUAAGGAUUGUGAGACUUGUAUUUUGGGAAAGUCACAUGCAUUUCCACAUAAACCUAGCAAUUCUGUGUUUAAAUUUCCUUUAGAACUUGUCUAUGCUGAUGUUUGGGGUCCAGGCCCUGUGGUGUCUAUUGGAGGUUUUAAAUAUUACAUUGAUUUUGUGGAUGCCUACAACCAUUUUAAUUGGGUUUUUCCAAUCACCAGAAAAUUGGAAGUAGGGGUUAUAUUUGAGAAAUUCAGAAGAUUUGUUGGACUUCAGACUGGAUUCAAACUUAAGAAAUUCCAGUCUGACAAUGCUCUGGAAUUUAAAAAGAUGACUCCAACACUAUCAUCUCUUGGUAUUGAACACAAAUUUUCCAUUCCUUAUUCUCAUCAACAAAUGGGAGUUGUGGAACGAAGGCAUCGUCAUCUGAUAGACACAGCAAUCACAAUGUUGAAUUAUGCAUUCAUGCCAAAGACAAUCUAGGAUUUUGCAGUUCUUACAGCAUGCCACCUCUAUAACAGAAAUCCCUCUCAAGUUCUGUCGGGAAAAUCUCCUCUACAAUGUCUAUUUGGGCAUACUCCAGAGUAUAAGUCACUCAGAGUUUUCGGGUCGAAGUGCUUUCCAUGUCUUCGAGCUCACCGGGAAGAUAAGAUGUCUCCUAAGUCCAAAGCGUGUAUUUUCGUCGGAUAUCUACAGAAACAGACAGGUUAUUUAUGCAUUGAUCCGAUCAAGCAUAAAUUAUUCUCAUCCAGGGAUGUUCGGUUUAUGGAAAGGGAUUUUUCGUUGAGUAAGAUACUCACCGAAGAUGGGGCAGAGGAUCCUUUUCUGAUGAGUUUAGUUGGCUCAGCAGCUAACCCAAACCGGUCUGGGGAAGUUAGGAGCGGUUCAGCGCCUGUUGGGAGCGGUUCAGCGCCGGCUCAACAACAGUUGGGAACUCAAAUCCCUACUACUCAAAGGGAUACAAAUCCUGGAUCGGAUCAGGAGGAGUUAAGGGAUACGGAUCCCGGGUCGGGUCAGGAAGAAGUAGUUUCGGAAAAGUCCGAUUCCAAGACGGAGGGAAACACUUCAACUCCGGCAGAAGAAGUCUCGGCUCCGGUGAACUUCGAGAUAUCUUCAGACAUUCCACCGUCACCAAGUAUCUUGGAGGAAAAUGACAACGAUAGUUUGCCGACGUCGGACUCAUCACUAUUUCCAGAUGACAACAACUCAGUGAAUUCUGGAUCAGUAUAUGCUCCCUCCACAGUCUCCGAUCAGAGUGGAAAGCUCCCUACAACAAGGAUUGAGGCACCUGCUACCAGAGCAUCUCAUGGUAUAGUGAAACCUAAUCCGAGGUUUGCUCUAUCAGUUGCAGCAUGUGAAGUUCCAAUUCCUAGGUCUCCAACAGUGGCUCUACAAGACCAGAACUGGAAAAGAGCAAUGCAGGAUGAAUUUGAAGCUUUAAUAAAAAAUUCAACAUGGAAGUUGAUUCCCAGAUCUGAGGAAGAUCAUGUGAUCAACACUAAGUGGGGUUUUAAAGCGAAACAGAGAGAAGAUGGAUCGGUAGAGCGAUACAAAGCUCGCUUGGUGGCAAAUGGCAUGAGGCAGGUUGAAGGGUGUGACUACACACAAACCUUCAAUCCUGUGGUGAAAGCAUAUUCCAUCAGAUUGGUUCUUACUGUGGCAAUUUCUAAAGGGUGGGAGUUAAAGCAAAUCGAUAUUUCCAAUGCUUUCCUUCAUGGAAGAUUGGAGGAAAGAAUUGUGGUCACUCAACCAGCAGGGUUUGCUGACAGAGAUUUCCCUCAUCAUGUAUGUCUUCUGCAAAAAUCUUUCUAUGGAUUAAAGCAGUCUCCAAGAAUGUGGUAUAAAAGGCUUAGGGAAUUUUUAGUCACACUCGGGUUCAAAGAAAGUUACAGUGACCCAUCACUGUUUAUUCUGAUUCAGGAAGGCAAAACCAUGUACCUGUUUGCUUAUGUGGAUGAUAUUGUGGUAACUGGAUGUGAUACUGAUUUUAUGGAGAAAAUCGUGGAAUCCAUGGGAAAAGAGUUUGCCCUUAGACAGUUGGGAGAACUCAGCUAUUUUCUAGGCAUCCAAGUGAAAAAAUGUGAAGAAGGCCUUCAUUUGUCUCAGCAACAAUAUUUGGUAAAUUUGCUGAAAAACUCUGAAUUUGACAAUCUCAGACCCUCUUCCACACCCAUGGAAUCACACUUGGACCUAUUUUCUGAAGAAGAAGUAAUCUCCAGGCAAACAGAGUACAGGAGCAUCAUUGGAUCGUUACAGUAUCUCACUUUAGCCAGACCAGAUAUUCAGUUUGUUGUAAAUAAGCUGUCUCAGUUCUUAUGUGCUCCCAAACCUGUUCAUUGGAAUGCCAUGAAGAGGAUACUGAGAUUCUUAUCAGGAACUCAGACUUAUGGGAUUAUACUUAAAAAAGUAGAUGAAUUUACAAUUUCUGGUUUCUGUGAUGCUGAUUGGGGUGGAGACACCACAGACAGAAAGAGUCAGACAGGGAUGAUGGUCUACUUGGGAGAUACUCUUGUAACAUGGUCUUCCAAAAAGCAAGACACUCUUGCAAGAUCCAGCACUGAAGCUGAAUAUCAAGUAAUUGCUACAGUUGUUGAGGAAUUGGAAGGGGUGAGGUCUACUCUUGAUGAAUUAGGAGUAAAAGUCAGCAGUCCAUUGAAGAUCUUUACUGAUAAUAAAAGUGCUUCAUUUAUUGUCAAUAAUCCGAUUGGUCACAUGAAACUUAAACAUGUUGCAAUGGAUCUUGGCUUCAUUAGAGAAAAGACUGAGAAGGGCACACUCACAGUGAACCACAACUUAGGGACCAUACAGAAAGCAGACAUACUGACUAAGGCAUUGAGACCCAAGGCUUUUAGGGAACUUCAAUGCAAACUUGUCAGAGAAGCUCCACAAGUUUGAGGGGGAAUGUUAAUGAGUAAUUAAGCAAUAAUUACGUUUAUAUAGUAUUUAGGUUAUCUCUGUAAUUAGUUAAAUGGCUUUACUUUCUGUUUUACUUUAUGUUUGUGAUCCACUACCUAAGGUAGUUGAGAUCUACUUUUGUAUUUCCUUUAUAUAGGGCAGUGCCCUCGUUGAACCAAUCACGGUUCAUACCAAACAAUCUUCUAGGUAGCUACUACACUAAUCACCCUCACAUUGAUAACUUCGAUUGUUCAUUUAUUGUAAUUUUGACUAUUGAUUAUGAUUUUCUUGAUAUUUCAAUUGAAUUUUAGGUUGAAUUGGGGGGGGGGGAAUAAACAGGUAAUAGCAAAAUUCAUACGGUAUGUUUAUUACCCCUUUUUAACCUUCGGUGGGACUUAGGAACCGGCCAAAUCCUGACUCCACCCCUGUCUCUAUUUAUAGAUUUUUUUUUAUAACAAAGGGCAUCUUCGGAUGAUAUAAAAUACGUACAUAGACUCUUAUAAACCUUAAUAGUUGAAUUAAAUCUCUUUGUAUCUAUUUAUAGGAAGUAAAAAUAAUAACAUGAAAUAUGAUGACUGAUAGUAAUAUUUAUUCAUAUAAAGUAAGAAACAUUGAUUUAUAAUAGUAGAUAUGGAUUUACAUCCAUCUUAAUGUAAUAAUAGAUUUUGAUAGAGAUUAACAUCAAUAUCAUAUUUAACAAUAUUAUUACUAGUGAUAGGAUCAUUAAAAACUACUUGAGAUAGGAAAUAUCCAGUGGCGCCCCUGAACACACCACUUCCUCCGACGACCGGAACCUCCCUUAAAGGGCUAGUUAUAUUAAGAACCCCCAAAAAGGUCAAAACGCUAUCUUGGUACUCAUCCAAAAACAAGUUCAUCGUUAUCGAACAUGACAAGUCAUCUCUGGUAUAAACUGUAUAAAUACCUUUUGCUUUGCCAAUAGCAUUCGUUGUGGUAUUGGGUUCGAAUUCGAGAAACAGUGGGAUGUCGAAAGCAAAAGUAGAACCAAAUUCAAAAAAAGCAGAGUCGACUCCGGCUAUAAGGACCGAUGAUGGAUUUGGGCCAACGUAUGUGUCGUUUGCGUAGAAAGAAAUUUUGGUAUUUGUGUUGUUUCCUUCUUGAGCACUGCAAAAGUUUAAGAAGAGAUGGAGAUGAAGAUGAAGAGUAUUGUGGUUGGAUUGAAUUUCGCCAUUGGAUUGUUGAUCUUAAUAUCUAAGAUAUGGAUUCUAUUUAUAGAACAAUUCAAACAAUAUCAUAGUAUUUUUUUAAUAAUGGAUGGGUCAUUGUGAUAAUAAUUAGAUUGAAUGUUAUAUAAAAUUACUUGGAUUUCAUUUUCUUUGAUGAUAUAUUAUUUUAUUUUGAUUUAACUUAGAUGUAAUUUUCUGAUACAUCUUCUAUAUUUAUUUGUAUAUUUUAUUCUAUAUUUACAAGAUUUUUACAAAAAUAUAAGAUUACACAGAGGUAUAUAAGCAAUUUUCAUAAAUAUUUGUAAUAUUUACGAAAAUGUCACUGACUCUUUAAGCGUGCUAAAGCGUCCGAGGCGGAAAAAAUGCUUCCUGGAAAAUGGAAACGCUUUUCAUUUUUUAAAAUCAUGGAUGUAAACCACAAAACUUACUCAAACAUAUCGGAUUGUUCCUUUUGUUGUAUGACUAAGUUUAAAAGACUAUCAUUUUCUGAAAGUAAAAAUAUUGCUACGAAUGUUUUUUUUAAAUUGCACAUGGAUAUAUGUUUAGGGACUAUUUCCCAUUAGCAAACAAAUAAUCAAAAAUAUUUUUUUGACCAUUGUUGUCUGUUGAUGAAUUUAGUAUGAAAUAUAUAGGUUUUAUUAAUGAAUUCUAACUCCGAUGUUAAUAUGAUAAUUUCGAAAAAUUUAAUAUUAAUUUGAAAUAAAUUUGAUAUAACAUCCAAGAUUAUCCGAUCCAAUAAUUGACUUGUUUUUACACUCCACAACAAAAUGAAAUGGUGGAACGCAAGCAUAAAUAUCUUUUGCAAGUUGCGAGAGCAAUAAGAUUCCAAUUAAAAAUAGCAUCAUCAAAACAAUAAUGACUAUAUAUAUGAUGACAUAAAAAUUAGUGACGUUUAAGACAAUGAUGACUUGGAUGGGGACUCCACUAGAUGGAUAUUUACAAUGCAUUUUUACAAGAUGACUUGGAUGGGGAGAUAUUCAUGAGACCACUCCAAGGACUGUUGAACCGAGAUGACAAACGAGUUUGCAAAUUUAAAAAGUCAUUGUAUGGCUUAAAGCAAACAUUAUGAAAUUAGUUUGCGAGACUAAGAUUAAAACGGUAAGAGAUAGGUUUUGAUCAAUCCACAGUGGACUAUUCACUCGUCACACAUAUCAAGGGUGAUAAAGUCACACUUGUUAGUAUAUGUGGAUGACAAAGUCAAAAUUGUUGGAGAUAGCUUUCCUCAAGGUACUGAGAUACCUGAAAGGAACACCUACCAGAGGUUUGGUGUAUAAGCAUGAAAAUGAAAUCAACAUAAUCGGCCACUGUGUUGCGGAUUGGGCAGCUUGCCCUAAAACCAGGAAGUCGAUCACUGGAUACUGUAUCUCUUUGGGUACAUUGUUGAUAUAUCUUGGAAGUCCAAAAAGAUCCAGUGAUUUCAAGAUCUUCAACAAAAGCUGUAUGUAGAUCAAUGACACAUGCUUCGGCUGAAAUAACCUUUAUUCAUUCUCUAUUGAAAGAAUUCAAUACAGAUUCUCAAAAGAAAGUAUUUUUUUGUGACAACGUUUCAACUAUACACACAGCUAAUAACCCGGUAUUUCAUGAACGAACAAAACACAUAGAGAUCGACUACCAUUUUAUUAGGGACAAAGUUCAACAAGGACUCAUAGUCUUGGCUUAUAUAGGAACAAGUCAGUCAAAGUUAUGUUAACAAAGUUAUUAGGAAAAAAUGAUAUAAUUAAGUUCCUUGGCAAGUUGAAUGUCUUCGACCUAUACUCUCCAAGUUGAAGGGGUGUGUUAAACUAUCAAUGUUUAGUGAUGUAAUUUGUGCAAGACUCAUUGACAAGGUUGAGUUCCACUUGAUUACUUGGACGUAAUCUCUCAAUUAUUUGAUGGCAAUUCUUCAUUAAUCAUGCCCAUCACCUUCAUCAAUCAUGCUUUAAGAUGACAUUGUACAGAAAACUUAUGAUGACGGAAAUCCACCAUCAAAAGUGAUCAUUGGUGGAUUUUCGCCAUUAUAAGACCGCCAUUGAUAAUUCGUUAUCACUAUAUCCGCCAUUGAUAAUUCGUUAUUUAUUAUUCCACAUCAUUUUUCACUAAAAAAAUAAUACAUGACGGAAAUUCGUCACUAAAUCUGAUUUUUUCGCAGGAACUGAAAAUUAUAUGGUGACGGAAAUCCGUCGUAUUAUAUGACGUAAAAGAAAUUUGAUGUCAAUUUAUCUAUGACUUCGAUCGUUCAUUUAUUGUAAUUUUGACUAUCGAUUAUGAUUUUCUUGAUAUUUCAAUUGAAUUUUAGGUUGAAUUGGGGGAAAAAUAAAUGGGUAAUACCAAAAUUCAUCCGACCCGUUUAUUACCCCCUUUUUUAACCUACGACCGGAUUUAGGAACCGGCCAAAUCCUGACUCCAACCCUGUCUCUAUUUAUAUAUAUAUUUUUUAUAACAAAGGGUAUCUUCGGAUGAUAUAAAAUACAUACAUAGACUCUUAUAAACCUUAAUAGUUAUUACUGUGAGUAGUUGAAUUAAAUCUCUUUGUAUCUAUUUAUAGGAAGUAAAAAUAAUAACAUGAAAUAUGAUGACUGAUAGUAAUAUUUAUUCAUAUAAAGUAAGAAACAUUGAUUUAUAAUAGUAGAUAUGGAUUUACAUCCAUCUUAAUGUAAUAAUAGAUUUUGAUAGAGAUUAACAUCAAUAUCAUAUUUAACAAUAUUAUUACUAGUGAUAGGAUCAUUAAAAACUACUUGAGAUAGGAAAUAUCCAGUGGCGCCCCUGAACACACCACUUCCUCCGACGACCGGAACCUCCCUUAAAGGGCUAGUUAUAUUAAGAACCCCCAAAAAGGUCAAAACGCUAUCUUGGUACUCAUCCAAAAACAAGUUCAUCGUUAUCGAACAUGACAAGUCAUCUCUGGUAUAAACUGUAUAAAUACCUUUUGCUUUGCCAAUAGCAUUCGUUGUGGUAUUGGGUUCGAAUUCGAGAAACAGUGGGAUGUCGAAAGCAAAAGUAGAACCAAAUUCAAAAAAAGCAGAGUCGACUCCGGCUAUAAGGACCGAUGAUGGAUUUGGGCCAACGUAUGUGUCGUUUGCGUAGAAAGAAAUUUUGGUAUUUGUG
rnacentral:lncRNA from 1 species